CACCAGCCGAUUUCUCAACUCAGAGCCUCGUGCUGUGUCACUAGGUUCCCCAUCCUCAGCUUCUGAGAGCUGCAGACAUGGGGUAGCCCUGUGACACUCCCCCACACAUGUCCUCUGUCACCCACGUGUGGGCCCUAGUUUCCUUCCCAGACAGCAACUACAGCCAGACAUGCUGAGGCCUGCAGAAUUUCUCUUCCCACAUGAAUGACUGGGCCACUCUAUGCACAGCACAGCCCUGUGAGAAAACAAGACUUCCUAUGCUUUCCUUCCAUCAUUCCUCACCAUGCAAGCAUUAAUGCUAAUGGAGGGAAGCACAAAAGUAAGAACUGGGGCUGGAGAGAUGGCUCAGAGGUUAAAAGCACUGACUGCUCUUCCAGAGGUCCUGAGUUCAAUUCCCAGCAACCACAUGAUGGCUCACAACCGUCUGCAAUGAGAUCCGAUGCCCUCUUCUGACAUGCAGACAAACAUGCAGACAGAACACUGUAU
rnacentral:lncRNA from 1 species